rnacentral:ribozyme from 13 species
CCAUUCUCUUUCUUUAUUCUCUCUUCCCCCUUCUCCUUCUUCUCUUACUUUCUUCAAAGGAAAUUGCAACCGGUGAAGAGAUAAAGCGAGUUCAAAAGAGGGGGUUGGUGAUUGGGGGGCUUCAAACAAAGAAAAAGAAGGGAAAAUCGAUGAUUCUU